rnacentral:rRNA from 1 species
UACGUAGGUGGCAAGCGUUUGUCCGGAAUUACUGGGUGUAAAGCGCGUGUAGGCGGGAGGCCAAGUCUGCUGUGAAAUCGCUCGGCUCAACUGGGCGGGGUCGGUGGAAACUGGUCACCUGGAGGACGGUAGAGGCGAGUGGAAUUCCCGGUGUAGUGGUGAAAUGCGUAGAGAUCGGGAGGAACACCAGUGGCGAAGGCGGCUCGCUGGGCCGGUCCUGACGCUGAGACGCGAAGGCGUGGGGAGGCGAACGGG